GGUUGUGUGGUGUAGGGGUUAGCACUCCAGAUUCUGAUGACUUGCUUGAAUGCCUUGAGUUCUGGUAACCCCAGUUUGAUUCCAAGCACGACCC